UACGUAGGGUGCGAGCGUUGUCCGGAAUUAUUGGGCGUAAAGGGCUCGUAGGCGGUUUGUCGCGUCGGGAGUGAAAACUCAGGGCUUAACCCUGAGCCUGCUUCCGAUACGGGCAGACUAGAGGUAUGCAGGGGAGAACGGAAUUCCUGGUGUAGCAGUGAAAUGCGUAGAGAUCGUAAGGAAGACCAGUGGCGAAGGCGAGUCUCUGGACAGUUACUGACGCUGAGGCACGAAGGCCAGGGGAGCAAACGGG
rnacentral:rRNA from 1 species